UNUUAAAAGUUCGGGGCUUAACCCCGUGAUGGGAUGGAAACUGCUGAUCUAGAGUAUCGGAGAGGAAAGUGGAAUUCCUAGUGUAGCGGUGAAAUGCGUAGAUAUUAGGAAGAACACCAGUGGCGAAGGCGACUUUCUGGACGAAAACUGACGCUGAGGCGCGAAAGCCAGGGGAGCGAACGGGAUUAGAUACCCCGGUAGUCCUGGCCGCAAACGAUGGGUACUAGGUGUAGGAGGUAUCGACCCCUUCUGUGCCGGAGUUAACGCAAUAAGUACCCCGCCUGGGGAGUACGACCGCAAGGUUGAAACUCAAAGGAAUUGACGGGGGCCCGCACAAGCGGUGGAGUAUGUGGUUUAAUUCGACGCAACGCGAAGAACCUUACCAGGUCUUGACAUUGAUGGACAGAACCAGAGAUGGUUCCUCUUCUUCGGAAGCCAGAAAACAGGUGGUGCACGGUUGUCGUCAGCUCGUGUCGUGAGAUGUUGGGUUAAGUCCCGCAACGAGCGCAACCCCUAUCUUAUGUUGCCAGCACGUAAUGGUGGGAACUCAUGAGAGACUGCCGCAGACAAUGCGGAGGAAGGCGGGGAUGACGUCAAAUCAUCAUGCCCCUUAUGACCUGGGCUACACACGUACUACAAUGGGAGUUAAUAGACGGAAGCGAGAUCGCGAGAUGGAGCAAACCCGAGAAACACUCUCUCAGUUCGGAUCGUAGGCUGCAACUCGCCUACGUGAAGUCGGAAUCGCUAGUAAUCGCAGGUCAGCAUACUGCGGUGAAUACGUUCCCGGGCCUUGUACACACCGCCCGUCACACCACGAAAGUCGGAAGUGCCCAAAGCCGGUGGGGUAACCUUCGG
rnacentral:rRNA from 1 species